UUUGCGUCUUUUUCCACUUUAAUAACGUUUCCUGUACUGGUAGUGAUGUUGUGUUAAGUAUUAAGAAGGAUUUCUCUCCUUCUGGGAUCCGUGGGUUAAUGGAUCACAAAUCUGACGCUUCAGAUCGGAUCACAGAUUUUUGUCAAGGAUCAGAAUCGGAAAAUUAUAUUGAUAACAUAAACAUGACUCAAACUGUGCAUCUUAAUAAAGUAUCACAUUCUCAAAGUUCUUCACCUCUAAAUCUGACUUCAUCAUAAACUGAACCUUUCAGCACGUGAUGCAGACUCCAAAAACAUCCCCCCCCCCUCAGCCCUGCAGAGGUACCAAAUCUCGACAUGAUUGUAGUUGAUCGCAGUGCCCUUUAGUCGUCAAGUGUUUGAACGAUGUUGUGGGGAUUCUGUCAGUGUCAUACCUGUAACGGUACUUUAAAAAAAAAAAAAAUCUCAAAAGAGUGUCUUGAUGUUUGCUGUCACCUGCUUUGCUUUGACACUGCCACUUAAACACUCAGCCAAAGCUGCGUUGAAGUGAAUGGAGAAGCUGUUUGUGUGUGUGUGUGUGUGUGUGUGUGUGUGUGUGUGUGUGUGUGUGUGUGUGUGUGUGUGUGUGUGUGUGUGUGUGUGUGUAACAAAUCCUGCGAGAGUGUGUCUGUGUGUGUGAUGAUACAAAUCAAUGUCUGAAAUGUGUUUAUUGAUGUUGUAAUAACUGCAGUUUUUUUGAUCCGAGUUUAACUGUUGAACCUUCUUGUACUAGCCGUGUGUGUGUGUGUGUGUGUGUGUGUGUGUGUGUGUGUGUGUGUGUGUGUGUGUGUUUUUCCACAAGCCGCACAAGUUGCAGUAGCAGCAACGUGAUGAACAAGCACAGUUAAUUUUGAACUAAUUGUUUAGCUUGAGUCCAGCUGUAGGUCUGUGGAGCGUUUUCGCUGGUUUGUAACACAGGUUUUCAUUCAACAGAUACAUUUACAUGAAAUUCCUUCCUACACUGGGUUGAAAAAAAUAAUCACUUUUUCUUGUGGAUACACAGUUUUUACGUGUUUAUUUGUUAACACUUUACAGCUGCUCCUUACGUUUUGGUGUAUGUGUUCAUAACAAUAGAAAAGCCUGAGAAAUACCCCGUUUCAAAAUGUAAAGUGUUAACCUUUUCUCAUUUCUAAACCACAACAUUUGUACGAUUUAAAUUGUAAUAUAUGAAGAAAUUUGCCAGUUUGGCGUUUUAGUGUUCUUCAGCUGCAGCAUUGUUUAUUAGCCGUCAUAACGUGAUGACCUGAUCCAGUGUUUUGUUUCUUUUAAACUUGUGUAAAUCCAGUUUUUUGCUUCAUAAUGAAUUAUUUUCAAAGGCUUCACAUUCACAUAAAACAGAGUUAUUAUUGUUAGUUAUACCAGGGGAGAUAACGGUGAUGUCUUUAGUGAUUGGCAUUACCUGACUGUCAAACAUUCCCAGUUUUAAAGAAUAGUUUUCUCGUGACCUCACUCACUAAAGCCCUGUUUCCACCAAGCGGUCCGGUUCAUUUCGGUUCGGUACGGUACCCAUUUAUUGGCAUUUCCACUGUCAAAAGUUAGGAAUGGUACCAAAAUAAGAGAUCUGUACCGUCCUACUUUUUUGGUACCCUUCUGUUUGGGUGCCAAGGUUACCGAUCCGACCCUAAACAGUCCCUUUUGUUUACUGUGUCCCUGUUCUUCUUCUUGAACGUUUAACUUAAUUAAUAGUGAGCUACACUGUGUUGGGCUGCUAUGAUGUCACAUUGUUACAUAGCUGACGCGGCUAUCUCCAUCUGGCUAACACUCCGCUUACAGAAUAAGGGUUCAAGCAAGUUCAGGGUUUAACGUACCGCACUGUACUGAACCAAACCGGACUGCUUGGUGGAAACGGGGCUUUAAUUGAAAGCGUACCUGGCGGUAAAGGAAGGUUUUAAAAUGCUGCGCGCCCUCGGAAAGGCUACAGCUCUCAUUUGCCAGCUACGUGUUUUGGCUGGUGUGUAAAGGGAAGGAUUGAAGCAUAUAUAUGUUAACAUCCCGAAGUGAAGUUCUGACAAGGACCUUUCUAUUUUUAACUCUUCAGAUGAUGUCGUGAGGUGCCCAAAACUCGCAGUUUAUCUCGUUUUAAUGUCGAAUUCAGACGAGGGCACCCUCUCCGUCGUCGUGUAAACCGGCAAUAUGCUGUUCCUCUGAAAACUGUGACUUUUUGCAAAUUAGGUGGACUACAACAAAAACGGGCCUCACCGCUCAGGAGAAGGAAGAGUGUGUGAGCGUUCAGGUGUUGUUUCAUCUCGAAAUCACACCGUCGUCUACUGGUGUGUUCACUUUCCGUAGAUCUUUUAGCCCUCCACGUUAGCCACCUUACUACAAACUUUGAGUCAUACUUUGUUUUUGUUUCUUAUUUAUACCCAUUAUUUAUAUUAUUCACCAAAUGCAUUUAUUUUUAUUCCAUCUAGCUACAAUAAUUAUCCUACAGAGACCACUGAUUGGAAGUCGCCCCAGGUGUAACUGACAAGAAGUCUGUUUUUGUGAAGAUAAUUUAAGAACUAUUUGUGUGAUAAUGUUUUGAACUGUAGUCUUUUCCAAUUAUGUUUUUCCUUCUUUAUAUAAGGUUUAAACUAUUUUCACUACACUCAGCUUCGUUCUCGACCAACACUGAGCCGACCCCGCUGCCACGUCCGUAAUUCACCUUCACGAUCCGUCACAAUGUUCACAUUUUCAGUCACAAUGAACCCCUGAUCACGUCAUCUCAAAGCCACCGUUCUCGUGAAGCUGUGUUAAAUGUGGCUCUAUAGCAGUGUUGUUUGUGAUCACAGUGUUGGAUGUACAGCAACAGACACCACAGCUCAAUUCUCAUAAGUAAAAGAAGAAAACCUGUUGGUGGACUUGAGGGCAGUUAUGUGGAUUGUAACUGUAAUGAGGAACAAGUAUUUGCUUGUAAAAUCAAAAUAAACCAUUCUUGCUGUUUGAA